CGUAUCACCCAAGACAACUUUACGGAGUUGACGAUUGACGGAGCGAAGCGACGUCAAAGCGUUCAUUAAAGUCGAGUUGGCUUAGGGAUACGUUCGUUGGGUAGGGGAGCGUUCUGUAAGCCUGUGAAGGUGGCCUGUGAGGGUUGCUGGAGGUAUCAGAAGUGCGAAUGCUGACAUAAGUAACGAUAAAGCGGGUGAAAAGCCCGCUCGCCGGAAGACCAAGGGUUCCUGUCCAACGUUAAUCGGGGCAGGGUGAGUCGACCCCUAAGGCGAGGCCGAAAGGCGUAGUCGAUGGGAAACGGGUUAAUAUUCCCGUACUUGGUGUUACUGCGAAGGGGGGACGGAGAAGGCUAUGUUGGCCGGGCGACGGUUGUCCCGGUUUAAGCGUGUAGGCUGGUUUUCCAGGCAAAUCCGGAAAAUCAAGGCUGAGGCGUGACGACGAGGCACUACGGUGCUGAAGCAACAAAUGCCCUGCUUCCAGGAAAAGCCUCUAAGCAUCAGGUAACACGAAAUCGUACCCCAAACCGACACAGGUGGUCAGGUAGAGAAUACCAAGGCGCUUGAGAGAACUCGGGUGAAGGAACUAGGCAAAAUGGUGCCGUAACUUCGGGAGAAGGCACGCUGACACGUAGGUGAAGUGAUUUACUCAUGGAGCUGAAGUCAGUCGAAGAUACCAGCUGGCUGCAACUGUUUAUUAAAAACACAGCACUGUGCAAACACGAAAGUGGACGUAUACGGUGUGACGCCUGCCCGGUGCCGGAAGGUUAAUUGAUGGGGUCAGCGCAAGCGAAGCUCCUGAUCGAAGCCCCGGUAAACGGCGGCCGUAACUAUAACGGUCCUAAGGUAGCGAAAUUCCUUGUCGGGUAAGUUCCGACCUGCACGAAUGGCGUAAUGAUGGCCAGGCUGUCUCCACCCGAGACUCAGUGAAAUUGAACUCGCUGUGAAGAUGCAGUGUACCCGCGGCAAGACGGAAAGACCCCGUGAACCUUUACUAUAGCUUGACACUGAACAUUGAGCCUUGAUGUGUAGGAUAGGUGGGAGGCUUUGAAGUGUGGACGCCAGUCUGCAUGGAGCCGACCUUGAAAUACCACCCUUUAAUGUUU
rnacentral:rRNA from 1 species